rnacentral:rRNA from 1 species
AUGAAGAUAGUACUAUGGAGAAUAGCUCACAAUUGCCUUCCCACGGGUGAUCAACUCCACAAACGGUCAAUUGCAAAAAGGUAUGAUUGCAUAUAUUGUAACAAGUUUGAGACUCUGGAACACUGCCCCCUUUUGUGCCACUAUGUUAAAGAAAUCUGGGCUGAGCUUAAAAAGUGUUUUAACUUGUCUUUAAAACUGAAAAGCUUUGUCCAUAUACAACAAUGGCUUCUGGAUUGGAUUUCUAGUGCUUCAGAUUUACAUGCACUGAUCCUUGCUGUGGCGAUUUGGCAUAUAUGGGAGAACCGGAACAACAUAAGAAAUGGUGAAAAAAUGUCUCAUCCUUCACGUGUGGCAGGCAAGAUCAAAGCUUAUGUUGAUUUCAUCUUAUUGCACAAUUUCAGGUCGGUUGGCUCCAAUAGGCGUGAGCACCAGGUGUCAAUCCCGAAGUGGUCUCCGCCGCCGGCUGAGUCGGUCAAGGUCAAUGUUGAUGCUGCGAUUUUUGCCCAGACUAAACGCAUGGGCAUUGGUGUUGUGAUCCGAAAUCAUCUAGGUCGGGUGCUGGCAGCAAGCAGAGGGUUUAUUCAUUAUGUUGAUAAUCCGGAGCUGGGUGAAGCUAUUGCAAUGCGCCAUGCGUUGUUUUUUGCUGAAGAUUCCGGUUUCCAGAAAAUCCUUGUGGAGACAGAUUGUGCCAGUUUGAUCAACAAAAUUAAGAGUAAAAUGGAUGACAGGUCUCACACAGGUGCUGUAAUUUUUGAUAUUAAGAGGGCUCCAAGGUUCUUAUCCUGUUGUUUUACUCAUAUUAGUCGAAGUUGUAAUGAGGCAGCUCAUGUUCUAGCAAAGUCUGCUGAACAUGAUGAAGGGUCAUGCUGGUUUAAUGUAUCUCCUGAGUUAUCAGGAAUAUAG